rnacentral:rRNA from 1 species
GGGCGGCGGCAGCCUACCAUGCAAGUCGAGCGGUAGCACAGAGAGCUUGCUCUCGGGUGACGAGCGGCGGACGGGUGAGUAAUGUCUGGGAAACUGCCUGAUGGAGGGGGAUAACUACUGGAAACGGUAGCUAAUACCGCAUAACGUCGCAAGACCAAAGUGGGGGACCUUCGGGCCUCAUGCCAUCAGAUGUGCCCAGAUGGGAUUAGCUAGUAGGUGGGGUAACGGCUCACCUAGGCGACGAUCCCUAGCUGGUCUGAGAGGAUGACCAGCCACACUGGAACUGAGACACGGUCCAGACUCCUACGGGAGGCAGCAGUGGGGAAUAUUGCACAAUGGGCGCAAGCCUGAUGCAGCCAUGCCGCGUGUGUGAAGAAGGCCUUCGGGUUGUAAAGCACUUUCAGCGGGGAGGAAGGCGAUAAGGUUAAUAACCUUGGCGAUUGACGUUACCCGCAGAAGAAGCACCGGCUAACUCCGUGCCAGCAGCCGCGGUAAUACGGAGGGUGCAAGCGUUAAUCGGAAUUACUGGGCGUAAAGCGCACGCAGGCGGUCUGUCAAGUCGGAUGUGAAAUCCCCGGGCUCAACCUGGGAACUGCAUUCGAAACUGGCAGGCUAGAGUCUUGUAGAGGGGGGUAGAAUUCCAGGUGUAGCGGUGAAAUGCGUAGAGAUCUGGAGGAAUACCGGUGGGCGAAGGCGGCCCCCUGGACAAAGACUGACGCUCAGGUGCGAAAGCGUGGGGAGCAAACAGGAUUAGAUACCCUGGUAGUCCACGCCGUAAACGAUGUCGAUUUUGGAGGUUGUGCCCUUGAGGCGUGGCUUCCGGAGCUAACGCGUUAAAUCGACCGCCUGGGGAGUACGGCCGCAAGGUUAAACUCAAAUGAAUUGACGGGGCCCGCACAGCGGUGGAGCAUGUGGUUAAUUCGAUGCACGCGAAAACCUUACCUGGCUUGAAUCCCAGACUUUCCAGAGAGGAUGGUGCUUCGGACUGGGAACAGUGCUGCUGCUGCCUCACUCGGGUU